rnacentral:rRNA from 1 species
UACGAAGGGGGCUAGCGUUGUUCGGAUUUACUGGGCGUAAAGCGCAUGUAGGCGGAUCGUUAAGUCGGGGGUGAAAUCCUGGAGCUCAACUCCAGAACUGCCUUCGAUACUGGCGAUCUUGAGUCCGGAAGAGGAGAGUGGAAUUCCUGGUGUAGCGGUGAAAUGCGCAGAUAUCAGGAAGAACACCCGUGGCUAAGGCGGCUCUCUAGUACGGUACUGACGCUGAGACGCGAAAGCGUGGGGAGCGAACAGG